GUUUGAUCAUGGCUCAGGAUGAACGCUGGCGGCGUGCUUAACACAUGCAAGUCGAACGAUUGAAGCUGGAGCUUGCUCCGGCCGAUUUAGUGGCGGACGGGUGAGUAACGCGUGGGUAACCUGCCUCAUACAGGGGGAUAGCAGUUGGAAACGACUGGUAAAACCGCAUAAGCGCACAGUAUCGCAUGAUACAGUGUGAAAACACUCCGGUGGUAUGAGAUGGACCCGCGUCUGAUUAGCUAGUUGGUGAGGUAACGGCCCACCAAGGCGACGAUCAGUAGCCGGCCUGAGAGGGUGAACGGCCACAUUGGGACUGAGACACGGCCCAAACUCCUACGGGAGGCAGCAGUCGGGAAUAUUGCGCAAUGGAGGAAACUCUGACGCAGUGACGCCGCGUAUAGGAUGAAGGUUUUCGGAUUGUAAACUAUUGUCAUUAGGGAAGAUAAAAGACAGUACCUAAGGAGGAAGCUCCGGCUAACUACGUGCCAGCAGCCGCGGUAAUACGUAGGGAGCAAGCGUUAUCCGGAUUUAUUGGGUGUAAAGGGUGCGUAGACGGGAAAUUAAGUUAGUUGUGAAAGCCCUCGGCUUAACUGAGGAAUUGCAACUAAAAC
rnacentral:rRNA from 1 species